UAAACUGAAUAGGUUCUCCACCUCUUCUGAUUAGCUUGGGUAACCAUGACAUACUGCUAGGUGUCACUCAUGGUUUGUGGAAGCCCUAAACGUGUAUAAUCACUAAAGGGAGAAUUGAAAGUAAGUUUCAAUUCACAAUCGAUUUGAAAGAGUUCUUAAUCGCCCACUGCCUCGCUAAAAGGAACCUAAUGGAUCGUACACCGUGUAAGGUAGAGAUUGAAGAAACAACGGAGAUGAGUAAGGAUAAUUAAAUGGUUUAAUUAUUUAUGGCAAGGAUUAAUUAAUAUGUUAAUUAAUCAAACGAAUAAAGUUCGUUAAAGACCUCGGGUUAGUUUUGGGCCUUCAAGGCCCAAUGGGCUUCGAACGUCAAGCCCAUUGACUUAAGUUGUAUGACAACUUAAUGAAUAAUAAUUCACAAAGGCCCAAAUAGCCCAAUAAAACCCUAUGGCCGGCCAUAUUGAUAAAUGAGUGGGUUUUGGACUUAUUACAAGUUUGCCACUCCAAUGAAUGUAAGGUAUAAAAUAUGACUUUAUAGCCAAAAUUCAUUUAGGGUUUCUUUUGGGAGAAAAGAUGAGAACAAAAGCUCUCCUUUCUCUCUAAAGAGGCCGGCCACCCUUGGAAAGGAACAUAGCUAGCAAUCUUACUUCCCUAAGGUCACUCAUUUCUUCAUCAAUCCUUUAUUGGUGUGGAGACUUAGAGGUUCUCAACUUUGAGAACUUGGAGAAACCAAUUCUUCCAUCCAAAUCCAUGGAGCUAAGAAGCAAGGAAUGAAGGCCCUAUCUCUUGGGUGAUUAUCCUUUGCUUAUGCAAAGAGGAAUCAACAAAGGUAUAAAUUUCUCAACUCACUUUGUUUUGAGUUGAGUCUUGGUUCACCGAACUACUAGGCUUUGAAUUUCAUGGGUAAUGUUUUGUUUUGAGUGCAUACAAGCAUGAUUCCGCCUUUAAUUUGUUAAUUGCAUGCUAUAGAUGUUGCUCAAAUGAACAUGUUUUUUACAAAAUUUCCUUCAUAAUCACCCUUGUCCCAUUCAUUAUUUCAAAUUUCAUGCAUCAUUACAUUGUUAACUAGUGAUGUCACGGUUAAUUUGGAGCAUUGUCGUUCAUAAUUUAAUGAAGUAGUAACUGGAAAUCGAGUUAUUUGCAUACAUGUCAUGUGUGGAGAAAAAGCCUCUAGCUAUCCCAUCCAUCAUCUUAUUUCUCACAUUCGGUUUACAAUCUGUCUAGUUUUUCAUACUUGUUUGUUUGUUUCAACUUCAUCCAAAUCAAAACCCCCCUUUUAGUUUCUUGUUUCAAAGUGUUUCAAAUCUGUUUUAGUUUGUGUUUUUAAGUGUUUUGAUUCAAGUAAAAGUCAAUUUUCGUCCAAAGUCAUUCCUAGUGUCUAGUUUAAGUUUAUUUGGUUGUUUUAAGUUGUUUUGAUUAUUUUUAGUUUGCUUUGAGUCUUGUGAGUCUUGUUAAGUGUUUUUAAAUUUAGUUUUAUGUUUUUGAAUUAGUUUAGAGGUUAUUAGCAAGCCCUCCUAAUCCCCGGUCCAGAACGAUCCCUACUUAUACUUGUACUACAAUUGUCAAAAGAGGGUUAAAUUUGUGUGUUAAGGUAAUUUUCACUAGGGGUGGGUUUGGUUCAAAUCGGUUUGGUUUUUUGCCAAAACCGAAACCGAACCAAAAUUUCGGUUCGGUUCGGUUUGGUUCAAUUUGUUUUCGGUUUUUUUCGGUUCGGUUUUUUUUCGGUUUGGUUUUUUCCGGUUCGGUUUCGUUUUUUUUUCAAAAAAUGAAAAAAUUUGAAAUCUUAAAUUUUAACAUAUCCAACACAAUCAUAACAUAAAUAUUCCGACUAAACUUAAAGAUAAUGAAAAUAAAUAUUUAAAGUUCAACUAGAAUUAUAACAUAAAGGUUUUUUUAAAUAUUUUGGGUUUAAAGUUUAACUGUAAAUAGAUUUCUUUUUAGACGAUGAUGAUGGAGUACGACCUUAUUCAUUCCUCUCUUUCUCUCAAUCUCUCUCUCUCUAUAUAUACAUGUAUUCUUCACUAGCAAUAAGAUAAACAUUCUAUAAUAUACUAUUUAUUUUGGUUAUUGUCUAGGUAACAAUUUUUUAUAUAUUUUCUUUAUCUUUAUGGUCCGAAUUUUUUUUAUCCAUAUAUGUGGUUACAUAAUAUAAUUUCUACAUUCUGUGUUCAGCUUCUACCACCAGCAAAUUUUGAAGAGGUGUUCAUCAAUAUUUUUGAAUAUAUUGAUAUACUUUUCAAAAUUGUUAGGCCAAGGAAGCUACCAUACUUGGCCAUAGGUGAGAAAGUUUGAAUUUUGUUUUUGAUCUCGUAAUGUUUAAUAAACUCAUGAGACUUUUAUACGCUGUUUGCUUUCCCUAAUCAACUGCAGUGCAGUUGAGAUAUGUGUUCUUAUAUAUGUGUUGCACUUAAUGAUAUAAACUAGAAAUAUUGCAUGUAAUGGUAUAAGUUCUAAUUUUUGUUGUAGAUGGAGAAGCUAAGACAAUUUGAAUUGGAAAGCAAACAAGUCCUACCAAAGCAGCAGUCCGAAGUAUCAUAUUCUAAUAUAAUAAAAUCAAAUAAUUAAAUAAAUAAAAUUAAAAAAAUAUUAAUUUAAUUAUUUCGGUUCGGUUCGGUUUCUAGACCACCAAAACCGAACCGAACCAAAAGAGUUUGGUUCGGUUCGGUUUUUCAAUUAGGUUCGGUUUUUUCGUUCGGUUCGGUUUUUUUGGUUUCGGUUCGGCUCGGUUUUUGGUUUUUUUCGGUUUUCGGUUUUUUGAACCCACCCCUAAUUUUCUCAUCAAGUUUUUGGCGGCGUUGCCGGGGAUUAGCAACUUUGCUAAUCCCUUGUUAUUUCUUUUUGUUUAUUUUCGUGUCUUUUGUUUUUAGUUACUGACUUUGUUUCUGUUUGUGUUUUUUUUUUUUUUGGUUUUACUUUUGAUAUUUGAUUUAGUUUUGUUUCCUUGAUUUCGGGUACUAGAGAAGUAAGACAUGGAUUUUGUUACCAUUCAAGCUCAAUUGGCAGAACUUACUUCUCAAUUGUCACAAUAUGCCGAAAGGAACACAAUGCAAAGUGUCCCUACAAUGGUGUGUCAUAUGGGCAAGGAUAUCCAACUCAACAAUAUUUUCAAUUCGCUGCGAAUGAAGAUGCUUGGGAUUAUGAAGGCCAUAGCCAAUCAUGGGACAACAUGUUUUCCAAUGCUUACAAUUCGGAUUGGAGAGAUUAUUCAGAUUACAUAGAACCUCUUCGAAAUGUGCCCUAAAACCAAUCAUAUGAUGAUACUUUACGGACAUUUCACAUGUUAAACUAAUCUAGUUUAAUGUCAAGGGCAAAUAUUAUUGUUUUAAGCCGUCUCAUAUAAAUGUUAUAUGCUUAAACGAUAAGUCCAAGGAAUAUGUAAUUGGGAGAAUGUAAUUUAAACAAGUUAGAUUAAUGAGACCAUUCUCUUUCGUAUACAUAUCCUAAACGUUCCUGAUCAUAGGAUUGCCAAUUGGGCAUUGACAGUCCGUUAAGAUCAGUACGUGAUGUGUCUUCUCUCAUGGAGAGAUACUGGUCUCGAGUCAUUGGUGUGAUUGACACCAAGACAAGCAUGUAGGUCCUUAAUAGAGAAUGAGUCCACUGAACACGAUCAAUGAGCAGUUCUUAUACUCAUGUCACAUGAGAACUCAUGGUUGGGAUAAUGCAAAGUAGUCCUUUGAUCUGAGGCAUCAUAGUUGUCUUGUGGUUUGGUACUUGAUCUUUGACUAUGUCAAAGUCACCUCGUCAGAGGGUGUCCACGACAUAGUUGGGGUUAAGCCACUUAGCCAUGGAGGCAAGUGAAUGCGCAACAAGGGAUCUCUAACCUUCAAACCAUUUGAGGGAGAAUACUCUAUGAUAUGAUUAAGAAUCUCUGGCCAGAGUAUGAAUGAGAUUUAGGAAGUCGUUCCAAAUCACAUUCAAGGUAAUCAUAUAAGUAAAUGAAUCACAUUGGAUAGUAGACAUGAAUAAACUAUCAAACCAAACAAUGUGAUCAAGAGUAUUGUAUUAGAGAAAGACCGUAUUGCAUUGUAAUCCUAAACUGAAUAGGUUCUCCACCUCUUCUGAUUAGCUUGGGUAACCAUGACAUACUGCUAGGUGUCAUUCAUGGUUUGUGGAAGCCCUAAAUGUGUAUAAUCACUAAAGGGAGAAUUGAAAGUAAGUUUCAAUUCACAAUCGAUUUGAAAGAGUUAUAAUCGCCCACUGCCUCGCUAAAAGGAACCUAAUGGAUCGUACACCGUGUAAGGUAAAGAUUGAAGAAACAAAGGAGAUGAGUAAGAAUAAUUAAAUGGUUUGAUUAUUUAUUUAUGGCAAGGAUUAAUU
rnacentral:lncRNA from 1 species